AGCGAACGCUGGCGGCAGGCCUAACACAUGCAAGUCGAACGGACCCUUCGGGGUUAGUGGCGGACGGGUGAGUAACACGUGGGAACGUGCCUUUAGGCUCGGAAUAAGCUCGGGAAACUGGGUCUAAUACCGAAUGUGCCCUUCGGGGGAAAGAUUUAUCGCCUUUAGAGCGGCCCGCGUCUGAUUAGCUAGUUGGUGAGGUAAAGGCUCACCAAGGCGACGAUCAGUAGCUGGUCUGAGAGGAUGAUCAGCCACACUGGGACUGAGACACGGCCCAGACUCCUACGGGAGGCAGCAGUGGGGAAUCUUGCGCAAUGGGCGAAAGCCUGACGCAGCCAUGCCGCGUGAAUGAUGAAGGUCUUAGGAUUGUAAAAUUCUUUCACCGGGGACGAUAAUGACGGUACCCGGAGAAGAAGCCCCGGCUAACUUCGUGCCAGCCGCCGCCGUAA
rnacentral:rRNA from 1 species